GACGAACGCUGGCGGCGUGCCUACCUCAUGCAAGUCGAACGGAACUUCUUUAAUUGAUUUCUUCGGAAUGAAUUUGAUUAAGUUUAGGGGCGGACGGGUGAGUAACGCGGGAGUAACCUGCCUCUAAGAGGGGAAUAACAUUCUGAAAAGAAUGCUAAUACCGCAUAAUAUAUAUUUAUCGCAGGGAAAAUAUAUCAAAGAUUUAUCGCUUAGAGAUGGACUCGCGUCCAAUUAGUUAGUUGGGGAGGUAACGGCUCACCAAGACCGCGAUCGGUAGCCGGACUGAGAGGUUGAACGGCCACAUUGGGACUGAGACACGGCCCAAACUCCUACGGGAGGCUGCAGUAGGGAAUCUUCCACAAGGGGCGCAAGCCUGAUGGAGCACCGCCGCGUGUGUGAUGAAGGCUUUCGGGUCGUAAAGCACUGUUGUAUGGGAAGAAAUGCUAAAAUAGGGAAUGAUUUUAGUUUGACGGUACCAUACCAGAAAGGGACGGCUAAAUACGUG
rnacentral:rRNA from 1 species